rnacentral:tRNA from 1 species
UAUUUAUAUAGUUUAUUAAAACAUUACAUUUUCAUUGUAAAAAUAAAAUAAUUAAUAUUUUUAUAAAUAUUAU